UCCCCAGCUGGAAAAGGGCUGGGACCCGGUGGCGGUGGGAGCGGGAGACCUGGGCCCGGCCGCUGCGGGGCGCUCUGCCGGGAAGGCCCGCGGCGGUGCCUUGAAUCACCGAGUGAGAGACAGACUGGUUCCUUUUAGUAAGAGUGAAAAAAAAGAAAAAAAAAAAAAAAGGCAAUUUAAACGAACGAUUACAAGUUGGGAGUGGCCGGGUUCCUACACCAAAGGACUUGAUGGCUGCUGCUGGGCCCUCAGCCCCUCCAUCGCCUCUUCAGGCCGAGGUUCCCACCUUUGUGCCAUCUGUUUCCUGUUGGUACCUUGGCUGACAUCAGCAAAAAUUAACUCCAAAACAUUUAAUGUGGAAGACUAGGCCUGGCUUGAUCAACACCACUGCUGUCCUCCACUUAGUUGUGCAAUGAGCAGUACUGUCUGUAAGUGACCUUGAACAAUUACCCAGAAUCCACUGUCAUGGUAUUCCACACAGCAUUGCUUUUGAUUGAGGAACUGCAAAAGUGCAGCACUGGGCCCACGCUCAUGGAAUUCACUGGCCUUACCAUAUUCCCCCUGUCAUCCUGAAGCAGCUGGCUUGAUGGAACAGUGGAAUGGCCUUUGGAAGACUCAGUUACUUUGUAGGCCUAGGGCAAGGUUAUCCAGAUGGUUGUACAUGCUCUGAAUCAGCAUCCAAUAUAUGGUAUUGUUUCUCCCACAGUCAGGAUUCAUACAUCCAGGAAUCAAGGAGUGGAAAUGGAAGUGGCACAACUAUUACUACCUUAAUGACCCACUGGAAAAAUUUUGCUUCCUGUUCCCAUGUCCUUAUGCUCUGUUAGCCUAGAGGUCUUAGUUCCAGAGGGAGGAAUGCUUCUACGAGGAGAUACAACAAUGAUUCCAUUGAACUGGAUGUUAUGAUGGCCACCGAGCCACUUUGAACCCCAUACUUCUGAAUCAACAGGCAAAGAUGGGACUUAAAGUGUUGGCUGGGGUGAUUGGCCCUGACUACCAAGGGGAAAUUGGGCUACUACUCCGCAACAGAGGUAAAGGAGAGUAUAUCUUGUAUAUAGGAGACCCCUUAGGGCUUCUGUUAGUAUUACCAGACCCUGUGAUUAAGGUCAAUAGAAAACUACCAAAACCCAAUCCAGGCAGGACUACUAAUGGCCCAGACCCUUCAGGAAUGAAGGUUUAGGUCACCCCACCAGAUAAAAAAC